CGAUACAGAGGAUCAUAAAACUGCACCAGAGUACCCAUCAAUCCUUCAUCCACCUGAGUAGUCAGAAGCGGAAGAAGCUUUCCAAAACGAGCCUUGAAACCCAAGGGAUCCAAUACAUAGGAUGUCAGAUUCCUUAACUCUUUCAGAUCGGGUUGUCUGAAGUUGUACUUCUUCGUAUGCCUUUUUUGUCUUUCCAUAUCUGAAAAU
rnacentral:lncRNA from 1 species